rnacentral:rRNA from 1 species
CCUACGGGGGGCAGCAGUGGGGAAUAUUGGACAAUGGGGGGAACCCUGAUCCAGCGACGCCGCGUGAGUGAAGAAGUAUUUCGGUAUGUAAAGCUCUAUCAGCAGGGAAGAAAGAAAUGACGGUACCUGACUAAGAAGCCCCGGCUAACUACGUGCCAGCAGCCGCGGUAAUACGUAGGGGGCAAGCGUUAUCCGGAUUUACUGGGUGUAAAGGGAGCGUAGACGGCGAUGCAAGUCUGAAGUGAAAGGCGGGGGCCCAACCCCCGGACUGCUUUUGAAACUGGAUGGCUGGAGUGCAGGGGAGGUAAGUGGAAUUCCUAGUGUAGCGGUGAAAUGCGUAGAUAUUAGGGGGAACACCAGUGGCGAAGGCGGCUUACUGGACUGUAACUGACGUUGAGGCUCGAAAGCGUGGGGAGCAAACAGGAUUAGAUACCCUUGUAGUC